GGUGUGUAUCCAAAUUUGGAAUACAUGGAUUUGAGUGAUAAUAAUUUUUAUGGUCAUCUUUCUCCAAAUUGGGGAAAGUGCAAGAAUCUCACAAGCCUAAAAAUCUCCAACAAUAAUUUGACAGGAAGCAUACCACCAGAACUAGGCAGAGCAACAAAUUUACAGGAGCUUAACUUGUCUUCAAACCAUCUAAUGCGAAAAAUUCCAAAGGAGUUAGAAAACUUAUCUUUGUUGAUCAAACUCUCGUUAAGUAACAAUCAUCUUUAUGGAGAAGUUCCAGUACAAAUUGCAUCAUUGCAUCAACUAACUGCAUUGGAGCUUGCAACAAAUAAUUUGAGUGGAUUCAUCCCUGAAAAACUUGGUAUGUUGUCUAUGUUAUUGCAGUUAAAUUUGAGCCAAAAUAAGUUUGAGGGGAACAUUCCUGUUGAGUUUGGCCAAUUGAAUGUUAUUGAAAACCUUGAUCUUAGUGGGAAUUCUAUGAAUGGAACCAUACCAGCAAUGCUUGGCCAGUUAAAUCACUUAGAAACAUUGAAUCUCUCACAUAACAAUCUCUCUGGUACCAUUCCCUAAAGCUUUGUUGAUAUGUUAAGCUUGACAACUGUUGAUAUAUCUUACAACCAGUUGGAGGGUCCGACUCCAAACAUUACAGCUUUCGAAAGAGCUCCAAUUGAAGCACUGAGAAAUAACAAAGGCUUGUGUGGUAAUGUUUCUGGCCUAGAGCCUUGCUCAACAUCGGGUGGCACCUUUCAUAGUCAUAAUACUAACAAAAUUUUGGUGCUAGUUCUAUCCCUCACUCUCGGCCCUCUAUUGUUAGCAUUGAUUGUUUAUGGGAUCUCAUACCUUUUUUGUCGAACUUCAAGCACAAAAGAAUACAAGCCUGCACAAGAAUUGAAAAUUGAAAAUCUAUUUGAAAUAUGGAGCUUUGAUGGAAAAAUGGUGUACGAGAACAUAAUCGAAGCCACAGAAGAUUUUGACAACAAGCAUCUCAUUGGGGUUGGAGGACAUGGAAAUGUUUACAAAGCAGAACUGCCUACAGGUCAAGUUGUAGCUGUGAAGAAACUUCACUCAUUACAAAAUGAAGAAAUGCCAAAUAGGAAAGCUUUCACAAAUGAGAUCCAUGCUUUGACAGAAAUUCGACAUCGCAACAUUGUGAAGUUAUACGGCUUUUGUUCACAUCGACUACACUCAUUUUUGGUUUAUGAAUUCUUGGCGAAGGGUAGCAUGGACAACAUUUUGAAGGACAAUGAACAAGCUGGCGAAUUUGAUUGGAAUAAGAGGGUGAAUAUCAUUAAAGAUGUAGCUAAUGCUUUAUGCUAUCUGCAUCAUGAUUGUUCCCCUCCUAUUGUUCAUCGAGAUAUAUCCAGCAAGAAUGUUAUUUUGGAUUUGGAAUAUGUAGCUCAUGUCUCAGAUUUUGGAACAUCUAAGUUUCUAAAUCCCAAUUCGUCCAAUAUGACUUCUUUUGCAGGCACCUUUGGAUAUGCUGCUCCAGGUCAAUUCCUUUUCAUUCUUUUUUUUUUUUUAUAUUAAUUAAGGUUAUAAUAUUUGUAGUUUAUCUUUAGUAGUUACAUGUAAAAUAGAGUUAUAACACAAUUGUCUACUCUACAUUUCAUGUUUUGUUUAUGGAAUUAUAUUUUACACACGAUAACUCUUCUUUGAAUGUUUACAGAACUUGCAUACACAAUGGAAGUAAAUGAGAAAUGUGAUGUGUUUAGUUUUGGGAUAUUAACCUUGGAAAUGCUUUUUGGAAAGCACCCUGGAGAUAUUGUAACUUAUUUGUGGCAACAACCUUCGCAAAGUGUUACGGACCUGAGACUUGAUACAAUGCCAUUGAUAGAUAAGUUGGACCAGCGUCUCCCUCAUCCCACAAAAACCAUUGUUCAAGAGGUGGCAUCGAUGAUAAGGAUUGCAGUUGCUUGCUUAACUGAAAGCCCACAUUCUCGCCCUACUAUGGAGCAGGUCUGCAGGCAGUUUUUAAUGUCAUAAUCAUCUUCAAAUAUAUAGUGUCUCAUACAUAUAGCCUGAAUGUUGUUUUCACCAAAUAUGCUUCGAUACUACUUCAUUGUAUCCUAUUUGUAAAACUCUUAGUUUGUAUUGUAAAUCAUUUGAACUUGGGUUGCAUUAUCAAAUUUUAUGCUCAGUCAGCAUGGGAUUAUAAAUUUAUAGUUUAAAGCACAUAAAUGGAAUCUAGUACGCACAAAAAACCUAUUUCCAAAUCAUAAAUGGAAUCUAACUAUGAAUUGUAUGUUACACAAUUAAUGAAAAUAUGACAUUAAGCUUAAACAUGUGAUAUACCAUCCACAAAAACAUAAGUUGAUUAAUCGUAUCCAAACUUCAAAAUAAUUCACGAUUCAAGUCAUCAAUCAAAAUGACAACAGUGACCGGCUACACUGCGCUCAAGUGUUCAACCCCUAAAAAAUCAUAAUCUGUAAUAAUAAAUUGAGAUUCAUGUUGCAGUUCAACAAUCAAACAGAAAGAAUUGAGAUCCAUGCUGCUAUUCAUGUCAAAUUAGAUACAACCAGAAUGUACUGUAAAAUAUUUAUAAACAUGGUUGUGAUGAAUUUUGGCUUGAUGUCUUCUCUCAUUAUAUAUUCCUUCAUGAAUAGUACAAACUCAGUAGCUACAAUUAAUGACUUAAUCACUAUUACCAAUACAAAAGUAUUAUGAUUUGAAUUCUAAUCCUAAUCACAUACAAUUAGUAACUUACUAAAUUAUACAAAAUAUAAAGAAAACUAAUGAUGACAGAUCCCCUUAUUGACAAGUACAUGUUGUAGAACAAGAUAAGAGGUGAAUAUAUAUAACUACACUGUGAGUUCAAAAAAAGGGACCAUAACAGAAUGCAAAUUAUUUCGUUGAUGACACUCCACUGUGAUAAACUUCUUUUAAAAUAUAAAUAAAUAAUCAAAAUUCAACCAAAUGUUCUCAAUCCAAUCAUAACGUAGCUGUGUAGUAAAAGAAGAUAAUUACCUCUCCCAUAGCAAAAAUGAUGUAUAGUAAAUCAAAUGAUCUGAUCCAUUUUCACCAGUACCCUUUGCACGAGCAAGAUCCAUUUUUGAAUUGAUGAAAGCGACUUGAAUCUCUGAGUAUGAUCUCAUGUUCAACAAUCAUGGAUAUAUAGGUUAUGGCACUAUGAAAAUCUCCACAGAUGCGUAAAUUCUUAGUGAUUCGAAUAGGUGCACCUGGGGGUAGUGUUAGGAUGGCAUAGGCAAGAGCCAACUUCUCACUGUGUUCUGAAAGCUGGUCACCCUUUUCUUCAUCAUCCACAUCAUGAAGAGAAAAGUUUGCCUUAAUGCGCUUAAUCAAAUCUGCCAGUGUUUCAUAUAUCUUCUGAGAUUGUAAGUGAGUUCUGUCUCCCACGUAAAACGUUUCCAUACCUUUCCUUCCUUUGACCCAGCUCCAACCAGGUAUUUUCUUGAUUCCAGUACGUUUCAUCAAAUAUCCAAUCCUCGCCACAUCUUUCCAGCGUCUGGCAUUAGCAUAGAUGUUUGAAAGCAAUGUAUAUGUCCCAUCAUUGUCGGCCUUCAAUUCUAACAGUUUUUUCGCCGCAAAUUCUGCAAGUUCCUCGUUUGAGUGUAUCCUACAAGCACUAAGCAAGGCAAUCCACACUACUGGUGUUGGUUCUAUCGGCAUAUCAUUAAUGAGUCUCAUAGCUUCACCUAGACGACCAGCUCGACCCAAAAGAUCAACCAUACAAGCAUAAUGCUCUACUCCAGGAUCAACCCCAAAAUCCUUGCUCAUUCUAUAAAAACAAAUCGAUUCCACGAUCCACCAUUCCCGAAUGACUACAAGCAUAAAGCACAACAAGAAAGGUUAUGCCAUCAAGCACUAGAGCCUCUUUCCUCAUCUCAUCAAAAACACGAAAAGCAUCUUCGCUGCGCCCAUGCAUGCCAUACCCGGUGAGUAGCGAGGUCCACGAGACGGCAUUUCUUUUUGACAUGCUGUCGAAAACUACUUGGGCAGUAUCUACAUCUCCGGAUUUGGAAUACAUGUCUAUGAGACAAUUAGCCACAAACAAAACAUCUGAAUUGCUAUGACUUCUUCGCAAUACAUGAGCAUGAAUUUGCUUACCAAAUUUCAAUGCUGACAAACGAGCACAGGACAUGAGCACACAAGAUAUAGUAAAAUCAUUAGGAACUAUGCAGUUAUCAAUUUUAAACAUUUCAGAGAAAAGUUGCAGGGCAUGAUUUGCAUCACCNAAAACAAAUCGAUUCCACGAUCCACCAUUCCCGAAUGACUACAAGCAUAAAGCACAACAAGAAAGGUUAUGCCAUCAAGCACUAGAGCCUCUUUCCUCAUCUCAUCAAAAACACGAAAAGCAUCUUCGCUGCACCCAUGCAUGCCAUACCCGGUGAGUAGCGAGGUCCAAGAGAUGGCAUUUCUCUUUGACAUGCUGUCGAAAACUACUUGGGCAGUAUCUACAUCUCCGGAUUUGGAAUACAUGUCUAUGAGACAAUUAGCCACAAACAAAACAUCUGAAUAAAUAAGACUUCUACGCAAAACAUAAGCAUGAAUAUGCUUACCAAAAAUCAAUGCUGACAAACGAGCACAAGACAUGAGAACACAAGAUAUAGUAAAAUCAUUAGGAACUAUACAGUUAUCAAAUUUAAACAUUUCAGAGAAAAGUUGCAGGGCAUGAUUUGCAUCACCAUACUGAGCAUAACCUCCAAUCAUCACAGUCCAAGUCACCACAUCCCUAUCUUUAGGACAUAUUUCAUCAAACAUAGCACGAGCCACUUCUAAACUCUUGCAUUUAGCAUACAUAUCAAUUAGAGCAUUAAUCACCGCCAAAUCAUCAUUAUCAUCAUUAUGCUCCCCCUUGAGAAUAAAUUUAACUGAAUAACAAUGAGUUUCUUUUCCAUGAAGCAAAGCUCCAACAGACGCACAAGCAGAAAGCAAAGACAUGAGCUUAACCACAUUAGGACGACAACGACAUCCACACAUUUUCCGAAACACAUCCAUUGCUUCACAACCAAAUCCUCUCUGAGCAUACCCAGAAAUAACAGAACUCCAAGUAACAACAUCCAACUCAAUUAUCUCUUCCCUCAUUUUCCCAAACAAAGAAAGAGCAUCCUCAAAUCUACCAUUUUGAGAAUACCCGGUAACCAUAGCAUUCCAAGUAACAACAUCCUUAAACCGCAUCCUCUCAUAAACCUUACUAGCGUCUUCCAUUUUCCCACAUUUUGCAUACAUAUCAACCAAAGCAUUCCCAACAAAAAAUCCUCAACCAAACCAGUUAUAACACAUAAACCAUGAACUUGUUUCCCACAUAACCCCAAACCAAGAAAACCACUAACAGGAAGUAUAUUAACAACACCAACAGUAUCCGGCAAAAUCCCAUACCCAACCGUCAUUUCCCUAAAAAGAAAAACAGCAUCAUUAGGAACAAAACAAUGCGAAUAAACAGAAACAAUCGAAUUCAACGACACCGAAAUAAGAGGAGACCAUGUAUAAUGUAUUGUUGAUGAAGUAGUUUUGCUUGGAUUAUAGAUUAGCAUUGCUGUUUUGAAAUUUACGAAGAAGAAUGAUAUAAGAGGAGAUUAUGUGUAUUGAUAAGUAGUGGUGGUUUUGAGUUGAACGGAGGGAAACGUGAGAGCAUGCUAGCUUUUUCAUAAAAAGACAGAUCAUAAAGUUUUUUCAAUGCUGUUGUUACUUGAAUUCAUUUAUCACUUUUUUCAUUAUGGACAAAACUAAGUACAAGCCUUGCAAGUAAGCUGCUACUAUUGAAGACUUGUGAAGCAAGCUUCCCAUUCUCUCCUUCAACUUUCUGUACAACCAUUCAAUACAUUGGUUGAUGUGUAUACAGUUGAAAAGCACUAAUGUUGUAACCAAAACUCCAAAUGUUUCAAUUAUCACCGAAUUUCUUUAAAAGGUAAUUUGCAAUCCUUCAUUUGCAGAUUCUUGAAGUUUCUAUUUGCUAGCAUGUACUACAUGGCGUAUUUAAUGAAAUAGACAAAUAGUUAAAUUAGAUGCUACAAACUUGUUCAAAAUGAAUGAGUGAUCAACACAUUGUCGAUUCAUUUUGUAGGUGUGAUAUUUUUAGUUAUGGGGUCAUCUUAUGGGAGCUCUUUACCAAGCAGGAACCCUGGAAAGAAGUGAAUCUAUAUCGAGUUAUUUAUCAUGUUGGUGAGGAGGAUGGCCGUCUGGACAUUCCAGACAUUAUGGCCCCUGAUAUUACUAAUAUUAUUAGACAAUGUUUGAAGAAACAAGUGUAAUCUUUUAGGUGCAGAGCAUUUUAAUAUUUAUAUGGUGUAUGUAAUGCAAUUAUCAUGUCCUACAUUAAAAUGUUUUGCCACUAAAAGUAAAUGCAAUUACUCAAAAUAGAAUGUGAAAUAAUGAGAGUUCCAUAAAUAUAUUGUUAGCAAUCUGCAGUUAAUAGCAUCUGGAAGUAAGUUGCAAGGAAAAUAAAGUUCAAUCCACCUACUAUUUAAUUUUCUUUUAUUUGUUUCAUUAUCAUACUUGUAAAUUUAAUUUUCUUAAUCUUUAUUAUUCACUGUAUCAGGAUUUAUGGGCAAAAAGAAGAAGAUAAGAACCUUCUCAAGGAUUUCAAGCAUUCGAGACCUGGAAUAUCUAUCAGUUUCUCGCAAUUAGUAAGUUUCAACUCCUCCAAACUCUCUACAUUGGACAGCAUCCUCUCUAGUGUACUGCCAUAUUAAUCAGUCAGACCAAAUUCUACCACAUUUUCCAACAUAUUUUCAUGAGUGUAAUUGGAACUUCAUCUCUAAACAUAUAGUAUACAAAAGUAACGGUAAAAAAUUACAAUCAAAGAAGCCAAUGACUUUUUGCUGAUCAUUAAAUCAUACUGGUUUUUGACUGGAUCUCAAAGAAGCCUUUUAUUGACAUAUCAAAGUAUUCACAAAAUGGGUUGUUAAGGUAAGGAACAUUGCCAUUGUUUUGUUGAUGAAGUGGUUAACGGAUACACCCAACAUAAUAAUUGAAAAAGACCUAGUACCCGGACAGGAAAGCCGUAAAAGAUUACAAUAUGAUGCAUGAAACCAAUACGAAACAUAAUGUUAACUAAAUGGAAAAUCUACAUUAUAAGCUUGGAAACAAUGCAACAACCCGUGAACAACAGCAGAAAAAUGUAGCACAAAAAUCUAGAUUUAAUUCAUACUCUAAGAGAAGUAAAAAAUAUAGUACAAAUUGUUUGUGAAGUUUACUUUGAAAAAUGUUAAAUAAAAAAUGGAAUGUACUUCAGCUAAAUGAUAUGGCAACUAUGAGGUACGUGAAUCUCCUCAAGUAGAUAAGUUAGUCCUUGAACUGCACCAAUCAUAAGAAUUGCAGUCUUCCAAUUCCAGAAUUGCUGCAGAUAAGUGCAGUAGACUGUGAAUGGUAAGAAACAUAUAUUGGUGAAAUCACUGUCAAUGGAGAGAUAAGAUAAGUCUUUCAAUGAAUUAGAUUUUUUUUUUUCUUUUUUUGUGGCCCCUAUUACUCCAACCUCAUGUUUCUGAUCAAAACCACAAUAAUAAGUCUAAGUCUUCACCUUAAAGACAAAAGUGAAAGACUUUAAUGAGCUAAGUCUUCACUAUUACAAGUGGGAAUAUCAAUUACAAUGCAUUAUAAAUAUCACCUAAAUCUCCCAUUGUAAUGCAUUCAUCAUGAUACAAGUGUCUAGUUCAAUUAUAUAUAUCUCAGUGAUUGCCAAUAAUUUCAUUGUGUUGAAAUUUCCAAAAUACUUCAAAGAAUGAAGCUCUUACCAAUGCCAUGUCUUAUUUUGUUCUUCUAUGUGUUUGUAAUUGCAACAUCACCUCAUGCUGCAACAAAAAUCCAAGGUAGCGAGGCUGAUGCUCUAUUGAAGUGGAAAUCAAGCCUUGACAACCAUAGCAGGGCAUUUCUCUCUUCAUGGAUUGGUAAUAAUCCUUGUGGUUGGGAAGGAAUCACGUGUGAUUAUGAAUCGAAGUCCAUCAACAAGGUAAAUCUCACCAAUAUUGGACUAAAAGGUACACUUCAGAGUCUCAACUUCUCAUCACUUCCAAAAAUCCACACUUUAGUUUUAACAAACAACUUCUUGUACGGAGUUGUUCCACACCAAAUUGGAGAGAUGUCUAGUCUCAAAACUCUUAAUUUGUCGAUUAACAAUCUCUUUGGGUCAAUCCCACCAUCCAUAGGUAAUUUGAUUAAUUUAGAUACUAUUGACCUUUCACAAAAUACUCUCUCUGGACCAAUUCCUUUCACUAUCGGAAAUUUAACGAAGCUAAGUGAAUUGUAUUUUUAUUCAAAUGCUCUCACUGGACAAAUUCCACCUUCCAUAGGUAACUUGAUCAAUUUGGAUAUUAUUGACCUUUCAAGAAAUCAUCUCUCUGGACCAAUUCCACCUUCCAUAGGUAAUUUGAUUAAUUUGGAUUACUUUUCCCUUUCACAAAAUAAUCUCUCUGGACCAAUUCCUUCCACUAUUGGAAAUUUGACAAAACUCAGUACAUUAUCUCUUUAUUUAAAUGCUCUCACUGGACAAAUUCCACCUUCCGUAGGUAACUUGAUCAAUUUGGAUAAUAUUUCCCUUUCAAGAAAUCAUCUCUCUGGACCAAUUCCACCUUCCAUAGGUAAUUUGACUAAUUUGGAUUACUUUUCCCUUUCACAAAAUAAUCUCUCUGGACCAAUUCCUUCCACUAUUGGAAAUUUGACAAAACUCAGUGAAAUACAUCUUUCAUUUAAUUCUCUCACUGAGAAUAUUCCAACAGAAAUGAAUAGGCUUAUCGAUUUGGAAGUACUCCAUUUAUCUGAUAAUAUUUUUGUUGGUCAUUUACCUCACAAUAUUUGUGUUGGUGGGAAGUUAAAAACAUUCACUGCUGCACUUAACCAGUUCACAGGCCUAGUUCCAGAGAGUUUGAAGAAUUGCUCAAGCCUUACGAGACUGAGGCUUGAUCAAAACCAACUUACUGGAAAUAUAACAGAGAGUUUUGGUGUGUAUCCAAACUUGGACUACAUGGAAUUGAGUGAUAAUAAUUUUUAUGGUCAUCUUUCUCCAAAUUGGGGAAAGUGCAAGAUUCUCACAAGCCUAAAAAUCUCUGGUAAUAAUUUAACAGGAAGAAUACCACCAGAACUAGGAAGUGCAACAAAUUUACAGGAGCUUAACUUGUCUUCAAACCAUCUAAUGGGAAAAAUUCCAAAGGAGUUAGAAUACUUAUCUUUGUUGUUCAAACUCUCCUUAAGUAACAAUCAUCUUUCUGGAGAAGUUCCUGUACAAAUUGCAUCAUUGCAUCAACUAACUGCAUUGGAGCUUGCAAUAAAUAAUUUGAGUGGCUUCAUCCCUAAAAAACUUGGUAUGUUGUCUAUGUUAUUGCAGUUAAAUUUGAGCCAAAAUAAGUUUGAGGGGAACAUUCCUGUUGAGUUUGGCCAAUUGAAUGUUAUUGAAAAUCUUGAUCUUAGUGGGAAUUCUAUGAAUGGAACCAUACCAGCAAUGCUUGGCCAGUUAAAUCACUUAGAAACAUUGAAUCUCUCACAUAACAAUCUCUCUGGUACCAUUCCCUCAAGCUUUGUUGAUAUGUUAAGCUUGACAACUGUUGAUAUAUCUUACAACCAAUUGGAGGGUCCGAUUCCAAAUGUUACAGCUUUCAAAAGAGCUCCAAUUGAAGCAUUGACAAAUAACAAAGGCUUAUGUGGUAAUGUCUCUGGCCUAGAGCCUUGCUCAACAUCUGGUGGCAAAUUUCAUUAUCAUAAGACUAACAAAAUUUUGGUGCUAGUUCUAUCCCUCACUCUAGGCCCUCUACUGUUAGCAUUAAUUGUUUAUGGGAUCUCAUACCUUUUGUGUCGAACUUCAAGCACAAAAGAAUACAAGCCUGUACAAGAAUUUCAAAUUGAAAAUCUAUUUGAAAUAUGGAGCUUUGAUGGCAAAAUGGUGUAUGAGAACAUAAUCGAAGCCACAGAAGAUUUUGACAACAAGCAUCUCAUUGGGGUUGGAGGACAUGGAAAUGUUUACAAAGCAGAACUGCCUACAGGUCAAGUUGUAGCUGUGAAGAAACUUCACUCAUUACAAAAUGAAGAAAUGCCAAAUCGGAAAGCUUUCACAAAUGAGAUCCAUGCUUUGACAGAAAUUCGACAUCGCAACAUUGUGAAGUUAUACGGCUUUUGUUCACAUCGACUACACUCAUUUUUGGUUUAUGAAUUCUUGGAGAAGGGUAGCUUGGACAACAUUUUGAAGGACAAUGAACAAGCUGGUGAAUUUGAUUGGAAUAAGAGGGUGAAUAUUAUUAAAGAUAUAGCUAAUGCCUUAUUCUAUCUGCAUCAUGACUGCUCGCCUCCUAUUGUUCAUCGAGAUAUAUCCAGCAAGAAUGUUAUUUUGGAUUUGGAAUAUGUAGCUCAUGUCUCAGACUUUGGAACAUCUAAGUUUCUAAAUCCCAAUUCAUCCAAUAUGACUUCUUUUGCAGGCACCUUUGGAUAUGCCGCUCCAGGUCAAUUCCUUUUCAUUCUUUUUUUUAUAUUAAUUAAGGUUAUAAUAUUUGUAGUUUAUCUUUAGUAGUUACAUGUAAAAUAGAGUUAUAACACAAUUGUCUAAUCUACAUUUCAUGUUUUGUUUAUGGAAUUAUAUUUUACACACGAUAACUCUUCUUUGAAUGUUUACAGAACUUGCAUACACAAUGGAAGUAAAUAAGAAAUGCGAUGUAUAUAGUUUUGGGAUAUUAACCUUGGAAAUACUUUUUGGAAAGCACCCUGGAGAUAUUGUAACUUAUUUGUGGCAACAACCUUCACAAAGUGUUACGGACCUGAGACUUGAUACGAUGCCAUUGAUAGAUAAGUUGGACCAGCGUCUCCCUCAUCCCACAAAAACCAUUGUUCAAGAGGUGGCAUCGAUGAUAAGGAUUGCAGUUGCUUGCUUAACAGAAAGCCCGCUUUCUCGCCCUACCAUGGAGCAGGUCUGCAGGCAGUUUGUAAUGUCAUAAUCAUCUUCAAAUAUAUAUUGUCUCAUAUAUAUAGCCUAAAUGUUGUUUUCACCAAAUAUGCUUCUCUACUACUUCAUUGUUUCAUAUUUGUAAAACUUUUUGUUUGUAUUGUAAAUCAUUUGAACUGGGUGGUAUUAUCAAAUUUUACGUUCAGUCAAACAUGUGAUUAUAAAUUCAUAGUUUAAAGUACACUUUAAAUAUUACUAUAAUUUUAAAUUUUGUUUUAACUUUUUAUGAAACAUUUAUAUGCGUAUAAAAGUGAACCUAUUGAUACUACAUGGUAAUGUUCUUCAUAAACAAUUUAUCAUAUAUAAGUUUAUCAGACAAAGGUGAAAGCCUACCUCGAUAGAAAUAAAAAACACAAUUCCCCGACUGCAUUUUCUGAAAAGAAUUAAAGGCUUCGUCAAUAAAGAUCACACAAUUUCUGUUACCAACACAGAAACCCGAAGCAGAAGUAGUUCAUUAAGUAUAAUUAUAUCUUCUCUUGUAACAUAUUGACAAGGAAUGCUAUUGUGCAUUAAUGAAUCCUUAUAAUGUUAAAUGAAAUGCCAAUGAGUAAGAUAUAUUAAAUUGGACAAGCAAUAUGCAAGAAUAGGCAACAAAUUUAACCCAAAAUACAAACGACUUUUGAUCAUAUUAUCAAAUUUUGUUAUUGCCAGAUCAAAGGAAUUACAAUAGUGUUGCUUAAGCAGGGGAACUCAUUCAGACACAUCUCUUCAGAAGCCUCUAAAAUAGCAAACCACCUCCUUUUUCACAAGUGACACUAUAAUAUAAGCAAUUCUCAUGGCUACUUAACAAAAUGGCAAGUAUCUUUAAAUAGAAUAAAUGAAAAAAUAACUAGAAAAUUUUGAUUAAGCUAAGAUACACAAUUAAUCAAUUUUUCUCUUUUGGUUUAUAAAAAUUAUUUUAGACGUCUUUGUAGUAUUAUUAUUGUUGGAAAUUCUGCCUUAGUUGCGGUCCGCCCCUAGUCGCCUAAAUUGCGACCUUUGAUUAACCUUCAUUGCAACCUCCAACACCUUCAUUGUGUUGGCUUUGAGGGGGUGAAUUUAGUCUCAUAUUAGAUAGAUAUGACUCUUGAGAACAGUUUAUAAAGAGAAGACACUUCUCACCUUACAAGCCGGUUUUGUAAAAAUGAGUUAGGCCCCAAAUUUCAACAAUUAUUAUAUAUUACUCUCUCCGUUUUCAAUUAUAAGUAAAUUUGACUUUUUAGAUUCAUUCAAUUAAUAAUGUAUUUGGUUCAUAUUAUGGACCACAUCCAUCGUUAAUUGAAUGUACCUAAAAAGUUAAAUUUGUUUAUAAUUAACAACGGAGGGAGUAUAUAUUAGGCAACAACAAGCAACCAAUAGUUAUCGGGAUACAUGCCUAUAUCAACGUCAAUUUUAAACGGAUAGUCGCGGGUAUAGAUUUUGCUGCAAUUUCUAGGUACAAAGUGUGGCACUAUUCUGCGGCCUGAAAGAUGCCUAUAAAAGACAUGUCAAAUUAAAAUAAAGGGUUGGAUUUCCAAGGUUCCGAUCCUUUUAUAAUGACGGAUGGAGCUGGAAAUGAGUCGAGUCGAAUCAAACUUGUCUGAGCUCGACUCGAUUCAUUAAGAAUUGGCUCGGUUCGAGUUUGACACGAGUUUUUUUUUUCAACUCGAGUUCGGCUCGUUUAAAGUUCACGAACAAUUUGGUUCGGCUCAUUAUAUUCAAUUCGUUUGUUCAAAGCACAUAACUUUAGGUAUGAAAACGAGUAAAGCCACUUGAACCACAUAACUCAAAAGUCAAAGAAUUUAAAUUUUUUACCUAUAAAUAUAUUGGAAUUUAUACCAAUUUUUAAUGGACUGGAUGAGGCUAAUUUUCAGCUCAAUUAAUUGAUGAACUUAAUUUUCAACUCAAGUUCGGCUCAUUUGGUUCAUGAAUCAAGUUCGACGAAUCAAUUAUCGAAUCGAAUUACGAACUCUAAUCGAGUUGGUUCGGUUCAUUGCCAACCCUAACGACGAAUAAACUUUUUUUUUUUACUUUCACAUUUUUUUUUCUUUUAAAACAAGUUGUCAAACACAUUUGUUUCACUAGUUUAUAAUAAGGUAACAAACCAUACCACUAAAAAAGCAAUAGAAUAAUAAAUAAAAACACCUUAUUGUAAUAAUAAUAUAGUGUUAAAAAUCAUUUAUUUAGUUAGUACAAUCAUAUAAUUUCGAAAAUAAUAUGUAAAUAUAGUACAAUUACAUAUACUAAGUAUAGUAUAUUUUACUUGUCAAAAAAAAAGUAUACUAUAUUUUAGAUUUAUUAAAAAAAAAUGUAUAGUAUAUUUUAGAUUGUUACACAACAAAUAUUAUGGUGCAGGGGUAAGGCUUCCUCACAUCCAACCUCAUACAUGGUUUGAUUCUUAGCCUUUAGUUAUAAUUUGACAUUUGUAUUUUUAGGCAUGUUUUAUAUCCAACCACAAUCAUGAUUUAUUACAAGAAGCAAGAUUCACUAAAGCACAAAGUCUUAUGGGAUGGUGAUGCGGUUGGAUGUAGUUCUAAGCAUUUUGAGUUUUAUAUAAUGAAUGAUUUUUGUUUGAUAGAUGGAUAAAAUGACAAUAAUUAUUGAAAAUUCACACAUAUAAAUGAAGAAAUUGAGGUUCAAAUCGCACUUACGGCGUUUGGUUUAACAAUUUUCGACAUUUUUACCAAUUGAAUUAUGAGUUGUAGAUUAUAUAAUGAAUGGUUUAAUAGAGUAAUAAAAGAUAAGUAUGUGUGUGUCCCUCUCUAUAUAUAUUUGGAAGCAGAUAAGUAAAUAUUUUAAUCAUAAAUGUUUUAGAUUUUUUUUCUUUUUUGUGGCUCAGUUAAACUCGUUACCUUCCCCUAUUACACCAACCUCAUGUUUCUGAUCAAAACCACCCUAAUAAGUCCAAGUCUUCACCUUAAAGACAAAAGUGGAAGACUUUGAUGAGCCUGACUCUUCACUGUUACAAAUGGGAAUAUCAACUUUUGUGACAACUUUCUCUCUCAUACUUACAUUAUUUUUUACUUUAUAUCUCUAUUGUUUUGGUUUUCGUGCAAAUACCAACUUUUUCUUUGUAAAUUAUGGUUGUCCCAUAAUUAUCAACCAAAUAGUUGUUCAAAUAACACUCCUUUUAUAAAUAUCACCUGCAUCUCCCAUUAUAAUGCAUUCAUCAUAAUAAGUGUCGCGUUCAAAUCAAAUUAUACUUUAAUUGAUUGUGAUUGCCAAUACCUUAAUUGUGUUCAAAUUGCCAAUACCAAUGUCGUGUCUUCUUUUGUUCUUUUAUGUGUUUGUAAUGAUCAAAUCACCUCAUGCUGCAACAAAAAUCAAAGGCCGUGAGGCAGAGUCUCUGUUGAAGUGGAAAGAAAGCUUUGACAACCAAAGCAAAGCAUUACUCUCUUCAUGGAUUGGUAAUAAUCCUUGUAGUAGCUGGGAAGGAAUCACAUGUGAUGAUGAUUCAAAAUCCAUCAACAAGGUAAAUCUCACCAAUAUUGGACUAAAAGGUACACUUCAAAGUCUCAAUUUCUCAUCACUUCCAAAAAUCCGUACCUUAGUUUUAAGAAACAACUUCCUGUACGGCAUUGUUCCACACCAUAUUGGAGAGAUGUCUAGUCUAAAAACUCUUGAUUUGUCGAUUAACAAUCUUUUUGGAUCAAUACCACUAUCCAUAGGUAAUUUGAUUAAUUUGGAUACUAUUAACCUUUCAGAAAAUAAUAUCUCUGGACCACUUCCUUUCACUAUAGGAAAUUUGACAAAACUCAAUAUACUAUAUCUUUACUCAAAUGAUCUCACCGGACAAAUUCCACCUUUCAUAGAUAAUUUAAUUAAUUUGCAUACUCUUUACCUUUCAUACAAUAAUCUCUCUGAACCAAUUCCUUUCACUAUUGGAAACAUGACAAAACUCAUUAGAUUAUCUCUUUUCUCAAAUUCUUUCACUAAGAAUAUUCCAACAGAAAUUAAUAGGCUUACCGAUUUGAAAGCACUCGAUUUGUAUGAUAAUAAUUUUGUUGGUCAUUUACCUCAUAAUAUUUGUGUCGGUGGGAAGUUGGAAAAAUUCUCUGCUGCUCUUAACCAGUUCACAGGCCUAGUUCCAGAGAGUUUGAAGAAUUGCUCAAGCCUUAAGAGACUGAGGCUUGAACAAAACCAACUGACUGGAAAUAUAACAAAUAGUUUUGGUGUGUAUCCAAACUUGGACUACAUGGAAUUGAGUGAUAAUAAUUUGUAUGGUCAAAUUUCUCCAAAUUGGGGAAAGUGCAAGAAUCUCACAAGCCUUAAAAUCUCCAACAAUAAUUUGACAGGAAGCAUACCACCAGAACUAGGCAGAGCAACAAAUUUACAUGAACUUAACUUGUCUUCAAACCAUCUUACGGGGAAAAUUCCAAAGGAGCUAGAAAACUUAUCUUUGUUGAUCAAACUCUCGUUAAGUAACAAUCAUCUUUCUGGAGAAGUUCCUGAACAAAUUGAAUCAUUGCACGAAUUAACUGCAUUGGAGCUUGCAGCAAAUAAUUUCAGUGGCUUCAUCCCUGAAAAACUUGGUAUGUUGUCUAGGUUAUUGAAGUUAAAUUUGAGCCAAAAUAAGUUUGAGGGGAACAUUCCUGUUGAGUUUGGCCAAUUGAAUGUUAUUGAAAAUCUUGAUCUUAGUGGGAAUUCUAUGAAUGGAACCAUACCAGCAAUGCUUGGCCAGUUAAAUCACUUAGAAACAUUGAAUCUCUCACAUAACAAUCUCUCUGGUACCAUUCCCUCAAGCUUUGUUGAUAUGUUAAGCUUGACAACUGUUGAUGUAUCUUACAACCAGUUGGAGGGUCCGACUCCAAACAUUACAGCUUUCGGAAGAGCUCCAAUUGAAGCAUUGACAAAUAACAAGGGCUUGUGUGGUAAUAUCUCUGGCCUAGAGCCUUGCUCAAUAUCUGGUGGCAAGUUUCAUAAUCAUAAGACAAACAAAAUUUGGGUGCUAGUUCUAUCACUCACUCUAGGUCCUCUACUGUUAGCAUUAAUUGUUUAUGGGAUCUCAUACUUUUUUUGUCGAACUUCAAGCACAGAAGAAUACAAGCCUGCACAAGAAUUUCAAAUUGAAAAUCUAUUUGAAAUAUGGAGCUUUGAUGGCAAAAUGGUGUAUGAGAACAUAAUCGAAGCCACGGAAGAUUUUGACAACAAACAUCUCAUUGGGGUUGGAGGACAUGCAAGUGUUUACAAAGCAGAGUUGCCUUCAGGUCAAGUUGUAGCUGUGAAGAAACUUCAUUUAUUACAAAAUGAAGAAAUGUCUAAUAUGAAAGCUUUCACAAAUGAGAUUCAUGCUUUGACAGAAAUUCGACAUCGCAACAUUGUGAAGUUAUACGGGUUUUGUUUACAUCGACUACACUCAUUUUUGGUUUAUGAAUUCUUGGAGAAGGGUAGUGUGGACAUCAUUUUGAAGGACAAUGAACAAGCUGCUGAAUUUGAUUGGAAUAAGAGGGUGAAUAUUAUUAAAGAUAUAGCUAAUGCCUUAUGCUAUCUGCAUCAUGAUUGUUCCCCUCCUAUAGUUCAUCGAGAUAUAUCCAGCAAGAAUGUUAUUUUGGAUUUGGAAUAUGUAGCUCAUGUCUCAGAUUUUGGAACAUCUAAGUUUCUAAAUCCCAAUUCAUCCAAUAUGACUUCUUUUGCAGGCACCUUUGGAUAUGCUGCUCCAGGUCAGUCCCUUUUUUUUUUUUUUUUGUCUAUAUUAAUUAAUUAAGGUUAGAAUAUAGUUUAUCAUUAGUAGUUACAUGUAAAAUAGAAUUAUUUCACAAUUGUCUAAUCUACAUUUCAUGUUUUGUUUAUGAAAUUCUUUUGCAGACAAAGGCUAAAGCCAACCUCGAUACAAAUAAAAAACACAAUUCCCCGACUGCAUUUUCUGAAAAGAAUUGAAGGUUUUUCAAUAAAGAUCACACAAUUUCUGUUACCAACACAGAAACCCGAAGCAGAAGCUGAUAGAAUUAAUUUCGUUAAGAAUAAGAAAGGACAAAAGUUGAUAAUCGUAUCCAAACUUCAAAAUAAUUCACGAUUCAAGUCAUCAAUCAAAAUGACAACAGUGACUGGCUACACAAAGCUCAAGUGUUCAACCCCUAAAAAAUCAUAAUCUAUAAUAAUAAAUCGAGAUUCAUCAGAAUAAAGUAAGGUUCAUGUUACGGCUCAACAAUCGGACAGAAAGAAUUGAGAUCCAUGCUGUGAUUCAUAUCAAAUUAGAUACGCGCAAUUUGCAUAGGUUAGGUUCAUUUUUGUUUCAAACCGAGAUACGACUAGAAUGUAUUGUAAAAUAUUUAUAAACAAGGUUAUGAUGAUAGAUCAGAUAAUCUAGUACUAGUGCUGUCAAAAUGAAUUUUGGCUUGAUGUCUUCUCUCAUUCUAUAUUCCUUUAUAAAUAGUACAGACUCAGUAGCUACAAUUAGUAACUUCCUAAAUUAUACAAAAUAUAUAGGAAACUAAUGAUGACAGAUCCCCUUAUUGACAAGUACAAGUUGUAGAACAAGAUAAGAGGUGAAUAUAUAUAACUACUACAGUGUGGGUUACAUCUUUGAGUUCAAAAAAAGGGACCAUUAACAGAAUGCAAAUUCUUUUGUUGAUGACAAUAUAAAAUAUAAAUAAAUAAUCAAAAUCCAACCAAAUGUUCUCAAUCCAAUCAUAAUGUAGCUGUAAAUAUGUGAUGUGUAGUAAAAAGAAGAUAAUUACCUCUCCCAUAGCAAAAAUAUUGUAUACUAAAUCAAAUGAUCUGAUCCAUUUUCACCAAUACCCUUUGCACGAGCAAGAUCCAUUUUUGAAAUGAUGGAAGCGCCUUGAGUCUCUGAGUAUGACCUCAUGUUCAACAAUCAUGGAUAUGUAGGAUAUGGCACUAUGGCAAUCACCACAGAUGCGUAAAUUCUUAGUGAUUCGAAUAGGUGCACCUGGGGGUAGUGUUAGGAUGCAUAGGCAAGAGCCAACUUCUCACUGUGUUCUAAAAGCUGGUCACCCUUUUCUUCAUCAUCCACAUCAUGAAGAGCAAAGUUUGUCUGUGGAACAUACCCAAUGGCCUUAAUGCGCUGAAUCAAAUCUGCCAGUGUUUCAUAUAUCUUCUGAGAUUGUGAGUGAGUUCUGUCUCCCACAUAAAAGGUUUCCAUACCUUUCCUUCCUUGGACCCAGCUCCAACCAGGUCUUUUCUUGAUUCCAGUACGUUUCAUCAAAUAUCUAAUUCUCGCCACAUCUUUCCAGCGUCUGGCAUUAGCAUAUAUAUUUGAAAGCAAUGUAUAUGUCCCAUCAUUGUCGGCCUUCAAUUCUAACAGUUUUUUCGCCGCGAAUUCUGCAAGUUCUACAUUUGAGUGUGUCCUACAAGCACUAAGCAAGGCAAUCCACACUACUGGUGUUGGUUCCAUCGACAUAUCAUUAAUGAGUCUCGUAGCUUCACAUAGACGACCGGCUCGACCGAAAAGAUCAGCCAUACAAGCAUAAUGCUCUACUCCAGGAUCAACUACAAAAUCCUUGCUCAUUCUAUAAAACAAAUCGAUUCCACGAUCCACCAUUCCCGAAUGACUACAAGCAUAAAGCACAACAAGAAAGGUUAUGCCAUCAAGCACUAGAGCCUCUUUCCUCAUCUCAUCAAAAACACGGAAAGCAUCUUCGCUGCACCCAUGCAUGCCAUACCCGGUGAGUAGCGAGGUCCAAGAGAUGGCAUUUCUCUUUGACAUGCUGUCGAAAACUACUUGGGCAGUAUCUACAUCUCCGGAUUUGGAAUACAUGUCUAUGAGACAAUUAGCCACAAACAGAACAUCUGAAUCAAUACGACUUCUACGCAACACAUAAGCAUGAAUCUGCUUACCAAACCUCAAUGCUGCCAAACGAGCACAAGCCAUGAGUACACAAGAUAUGGUAAAAUCAUUAGGAACUAUACAGUUAUCAAAUUUAAACAUUUCAGAGAAAAGUUGCAGGGCGUGAUUUGCAUCUCCAUACUGAGCAUAACCUCCAAUCAUCACAGUCCAAGUCACCACAUCCCUAUCUUUGGGACAUAUUUCAUCAAACAUCGCACGAGCCACUUCUAAACUCUUGCAUUUAGCAUACAUAUCAAUUAGAGCAUUAAUCCCCGCCAAAUCAUCAUUAUCAUCAUUAUGCUCCCCCUUGAGAAUAAAUUUAAUUGAAUAACAAUGAGUUUCUUUUCCAUGAAGCAAAGCUCCAACAGACGCACAACCAGAAAGCAACGACAUGAGCGUAACCACAUUAGGACGACAACUACAUCCACACAUUUGCCGAAACACAUCCAUUGCUUCACAACCAAACCCUCUCUGAGCAUACCCAGAAAUAACAGAACUCCAAGUAACAACAUCCAACUCAAUUCUCUCUUCCCUCAUUUUCCCAAACAAAGAAAGUGCAUCCUCAAAUCUACCAUUUUGAGAAUACCCGGUAACCAUAGCAUUCCAAGUAACAACAUCCUUAAACCGCAUCCUCUCAUAAACCUUACUAGCGUCUUCCAUUUUCCCACAUUUUGCAUACAUAUCAACCAAAGCAUUCCCAACAAAAAAUCCUCAACCAAACCAGUUAUAACACAUAAACCAUGAACUUGUUUCCCACAUAACCCCAAACCAAGAAAACCACUAACAGGAAGUAUAUUAACAACACCAACAGUAUCCGGCAAAAUCCCAUACCCAACCGUCAUUUCCCUAAAAAGAAAAACAGCAUCAUUUGGAACAAAACAAUGCGAAUAAACAGAAACAAUCGAAUUCUACGACACCGAAAUAAGAGGAGACCAUGUAUAAUGUAUUGUUGAUGAAGUAGUUUUGCUUGGAUUAUAGAUUUGCAUUGCUGUUUUGAAAUUUACGAAGAAGAAUGAUAUAAGAGGAGAUUAUGUGUAUUGAUAAGUAGUGGUGGUUUUGAGUUGAACGGAGGGAAACGUGAGAGCAUGCUAGCUUUUUCAUAAAAAGCCAGAUCAUAAAGUUUUUUCAAUGCUGUUGUUACUUGAAUUCAUUUAUCACUUUUUUCAUUAUGGACAAAACUAAGUACAAGCCUUGCAAGUAAGCUGCUACUAUUGAAGACUUGUGAAGCAAGCUUCCCAUUCUCUCCUUCAACUUUCUGUACAACCAUUCAAUGCAUUGGUUGAUGUGUAUACAGUUGAAAAGCACUAAUGUUGUAACCAAAACUCCAAAUGUUUCAAUUAUCACCGAAUUUCUUUAAAAGGUAAUUUGCAAUCCUUCAUUUGCAGAUUCUUGAAGUUUCUAUUUGCUAGCAUGUACUACAUGGCGUAUUUAAUGAAAUAGACAAAUAGUUAAAUUUGGUGCUACAAACUUGUUCAAAAUGAAUGAGUGAUCAACACAUUGUCGAUUCAUUUUGUAGGUGUGAUGUUUUUAGUUAUGGGGUCAUCUUAUGGGAGCUCUUUACCAAGCAGGAACCCUGGAAAGAAGUGUAUCUAUAUCGAGUUAUUUAUCAUGUUGGUGAGGAGGAUGGCCGUCUGGACAUUCCAGACAUUAUGGCCCCUGAUAUUACUAAUAUUAUUAGACAAUGUUUGAAGAAUCAAGUGUAAUCUUUUAGGUGCAGAGCAUUUUAAUAUUUAUAUGGUGUAUGUAAUGCACUUAUCGUGUCCUACAUUAAAAUGUUUUGCCACUAAAAGUAAAUGCAAUUACUCAAAAUAGAAUGUGAAAUAAUGAGAGUUCCAUAAAUAUAUUGUUAGCAAUCUGCAGUUAAUAGCAUCUGGAAGUAAGUUGCAAGGAAAAUAAAGUUCAAUCCACCUACUAUUUAAUUUUCUUUUAUUUGUUUCAUUAUCAUACUUGUAAAUUUAAUUUUCUUAAUCUUUAUUAUUCACUGUAUCAGGAUUUAUGGGCAAAAAGAAGAAGAUAAGAACCUUCUCAAGGAUUUCAAGCAUUCGAGACCUGGAAUAUCUAUCAGUUUCUCGCAAUUAGUAAGUUUCAACUCCUCCAAACUCUCUACAUUGGACAGCAUCCUCUCUAGUGUACUGCCAUAUUAAUCAGUCAGACCAAAUUCUACCACAUUUUCCAACAUAUUUUCAUGAGUGUAAUUGGAACUUCAUCUCUAAACAUAUAGUAUACAAAAGUAACGGUAAAAAAUUACAAUCAAAGAAGCCAAUGACUUUUUGCUGAUCAUUAAAUCAUACUGGUUUUUGACUGGAUCUCAAAGAAGCCUUUUAUUGACAUAUCAAAGUAUUCACAAAAUGGGUUGUUAAGGUAAGGAACAUUGCCAUUGUUUUGUUGAUGAAGUGGUUAACGGAUACACCCAACAUAAUAAUUGAAAAAGACCUAGUACCCGGACAGGAAAGCCGUAAAAGAUUACAAUAUGAUGCAUGAAACCAAUACGAAACAUAAUGUUAACUAAAUGGAAAAUCUACAUUAUAAGCUUGGAAACAAUGCAACAACCCGUGAACAACAGCAGAAAAAUGUAGCACAAAAAUCUAGAUUUAAUUCAUACUCUAAGAGAAGUAAAAAAUAUAGUACAAAUUGUUUGUGAAGUUUACUUUGAAAAAUGUUAAAUAAAAAAUGGAAUGUACUUCAGCUAAAUGAUAUGGCAACUAUGAGGUACGUGAAUCUCCUCAAGUAGAUAAGUUAGUCCUUGAACUGCACCAAUCAUAAGAAUUGCAGUCUUCCAAUUCCAGAAUUGCUGCAGAUAAGUGCAGUAGACUGUGAAUGGUAAGAAACAUAUAUUGGUGAAAUCACUGUCAAUGGAGAGAUAAGAUAAGUCUUUCAAUGAAUUAGAUUUUUUUUUUUCUUUUUUUGUGGCCCCUAUUACUCCAACCUCAUGUUUCUGAUCAAAACCACAAUAAUAAGUCUAAGUCUUCACCUUAAAGACAAAAGUGAAAGACUUUAAUGAGCUAAGUCUUCACUAUUACAAGUGGGAAUAUCAAUUACAAUGCAUUAUAAAUAUCACCUAAAUCUCCCAUUGUAAUGCAUUCAUCAUGAUACAAGUGUCUAGUUCAAUUAUAUAUAUCUCAGUGAUUGCCAAUAAUUUCAUUGUGUUGAAAUUUCCAAAAUACUUCAAAGAAUGAAGCUCUUACCAAUGUCAUGUCUUAUUUUGUUCUUCUAAGUGUUUGUAAUUGCAACAUCACCUCAUGCUGCAACAAAAAUCCAAGGUAGCGAGGCUGAUGCUCUAUUGAAGUGGAAAACAAGCCUUGACAACCAUAGCAGGGCAUUUCUCUCUUCAUGGAUUGGUAAUAAUCCUUGUGGUUGGGAAGGAAUCACGUGUGAUUAUGAAUCGAAGUCCAUCAACAAGGUAAAUCUCACCAAUAUUGGAUUAAACGGUACUCUUCAAAGUCUCAAUUUCUCAUCACUUCCGAAAAUACACACCUUAGUUUUAACAAACAACUCCUUGUAUGGAGUUAUUCCACACCAUAUUGGAGAGAUGUCUAGUCUGAAAACUCUUAAUUUGUCGAUUAACAAUCUCUUUGGGUCAAUCCCACCAUCCAUAGGUAAUUUGAUUAAUUUGGAUAGUAUUGACCUUUCACAAAAUAAUCUCUCUGGACCAAUUCCUUUCACUAUCGGAAAUUUAACCAAACUAAGUGAAUUGUAUUUUUAUUCAAAUGCUCUCUCCGGAGAAAUUCCACCUUCCAUAGGUAACUUGAUCAAUUUGGAUCUUAUUCACCUAUCAAGAAAUCAUCUCUCUGGACCAAUUCCUUCCACCAUCGGAAAUUUAACAAAACUCGGUACAUUAUCUCUUUUCUCAAAUGCUCUUGCUGGACAAAUUCCACCUUCCAUAGGAAAUUUGAUAAAUUUGGAUACUAUUUACCUUUCAAAAAAUCAUCUCUCUGGACCAAUUCUUUCCAUCAUCGGAAAUUUAACAAAAUUGAGUAAAUUAACUCUUGGCGUAAAUGCUCUCACCGGACAAAUUCCACCUUCCAUAGGUAAUUUGAUUAAUUUGGAUUACAUUUCCCUUUCACAAAAUAAUCUCUCUGGACCAAUUCCAUCCACUAUCGGAAAUUUGACAAAACUUAGCGAAUUACAUCUUUCAUUUAAUUCUCUCACUGAGAAUAUUCCAACAGAAAUGAAUAGGCUUACCGAUUUGGAAGCACUCCAUUUAGAUGUUAAUAAUUUUGUUGGUCAUUUACCUCACAAUAUUUGUGUCGGUGGGAAGAUAAAAAAAUUCACUGCUGGACUUAACCAGUUCACUGGCUUAGUUCCAGAGAGUUUGAAGAAUUGCUUAAGCCUUAAAAGAGUGAGGCUUGAUCAAAACCAACUGACUGGAAAUAUAACAAAUAGUUUUGGUGUGUAUCCAAACUUGUACUACAUGGACUUGAAUGAUAAUAAUUUUUAUGGUCAUCUUUCUCCAAAUUGGGGAAAGUGCAAGAAUCUCACAAGCCUUAAAAUCUCUGGUAAUAAUUUAACAGGAAGAAUACCACCAGAGCUAGGCAGCGCAACAAAUUUACAGGAGCUUAACUUGUCUUCAAACCAUCUAACGGGAAAAAUUCCAAAGGAGCUAGAAAACUUAUCUUUGUUGAUCAAACUCUCGUUAAGUAACAAUCACCUUUCUGGAGAAGUUCCUGUACAAAUUGCAUCAUUGCACGAGCUAACUGCAUUGGAGCUUGCAACAAAUAAUUUGAGUGGCUUCAUCCCUAAAAGACUUGGUAGGUUAUCUAGGUUAUUGCAGUUAAAUUUGAGCCAAAAUAAGUUUGAGGGGAACAUUCCUGCUGAGUUUGCCCAAUUGAAUGUUAUUGAAAAUCUUGAUCUUAGUGGGAAUUUUAUGAAUGGAACCAUACCAUCAAUGCUUGGGCAGUUAAAUCGCUUAGAAACAUUGAAUCUCUCACAUAACAAUCUCUCUGGUACCAUUCCCUCAAGCUUUGUUGAUAUGUUAAGCUUGACAACUGUUGAUAUAUCUUANUUUUUUUUUUUUUUUGUCUAUAUUAAUUAAUUAAGGUUAGAAUAUAGUUUAUCAUUAGUAGUUACAUGUAAAAUAGAAUUAUUUCACAAUUGUCUAAUCUACAUUUCAUGUUUUGUUUAUGAAAUUCUUUUGCAGACAAAGGCUAAAGCCAACCUCGAUACAAAUAAAAAACACAAUUCCCCGACUGCAUUUUCUGAAAAGAAUUGAAGGUUUUUCAAUAAAGAUCACACAAUUUCUGUUACCAACACAGAAACCCGAAGCAGAAGCUGAUAGAAUUAAUUUCGUUAAGAAUAAGAAAGGACAAAAGUUGAUAAUCGUAUCCAAACUUCAAAAUAAUUCACGAUUCAAGUCAUCAAUCAAAAUGACAACAGUGACUGGCUACACAAAGCUCAAGUGUUCAACCCCUAAAAAAUCAUAAUCUAUAAUAAUAAAUCGAGAUUCAUCAGAAUAAAGUAAGGUUCAUGUUACGGCUCAACAAUCGGACAGAAAGAAUUGAGAUCCAUGCUGUGAUUCAUAUCAAAUUAGAUACGCGCAAUUUGCAUAGGUUAGGUUCAUUUUUGUUUCAAACCGAGAUACGACUAGAAUGUAUUGUAAAAUAUUUAUAAACAAGGUUAUGAUGAUAGAUCAGAUAAUCUAGUACUAGUGCUGUCAAAAUGAAUUUUGGCUUGAUGUCUUCUCUCAUUCUAUAUUCCUUUAUAAAUAGUACAGACUCAGUAGCUACAAUUAGUAACUUCCUAAAUUAUACAAAAUAUAUAGGAAACUAAUGAUGACAGAUCCCCUUAUUGACAAGUACAAGUUGUAGAACAAGAUAAGAGGUGAAUAUAUAUAACUACUACAGUGUGGGUUACAUCUUUGAGUUCAAAAAAAGGGACCAUUAACAGAAUGCAAAUUCUUUUGUUGAUGACAAUAUAAAAUAUAAAUAAAUAAUCAAAAUCCAACCAAAUGUUCUCAAUCCAAUCAUAAUGUAGCUGUAAAUAUGUGAUGUGUAGUAAAAAGAAGAUAAUUACCUCUCCCAUAGCAAAAAUAUUGUAUACUAAAUCAAAUGAUCUGAUCCAUUUUCACCAAUACCCUUUGCACGAGCAAGAUCCAUUUUUGAAAUGAUGGAAGCGCCUUGAGUCUCUGAGUAUGACCUCAUGUUCAACAAUCAUGGAUAUGUAGGAUAUGGCACUAUGGCAAUCACCACAGAUGCGUAAAUUCUUAGUGAUUCGAAUAGGUGCACCUGGGGGUAGUGUUAGGAUGCAUAGGCAAGAGCCAACUUCUCACUGUGUUCUAAAAGCUGGUCACCCUUUUCUUCAUCAUCCACAUCAUGAAGAGCAAAGUUUGUCUGUGGAACAUACCCAAUGGCCUUAAUGCGCUGAAUCAAAUCUGCCAGUGUUUCAUAUAUCUUCUGAGAUUGUGAGUGAGUUCUGUCUCCCACAUAAAAGGUUUCCAUACCUUUCCUUCCUUGGACCCAGCUCCAACCAGGUCUUUUCUUGAUUCCAGUACGUUUCAUCAAAUAUCUAAUUCUCGCCACAUCUUUCCAGCGUCUGGCAUUAGCAUAUAUAUUUGAAAGCAAUGUAUAUGUCCCAUCAUUGUCGGCCUUCAAUUCUAACAGUUUUUUCGCCGCGAAUUCUGCAAGUUCUACAUUUGAGUGUGUCCUACAAGCACUAAGCAAGGCAAUCCACACUACUGGUGUUGGUUCCAUCGACAUAUCAUUAAUGAGUCUCGUAGCUUCACAUAGACGACCGGCUCGACCGAAAAGAUCAGCCAUACAAGCAUAAUGCUCUACUCCAGGAUCAACUACAAAAUCCUUGCUCAUUCUAUAAAACAAAUCGAUUCCACGAUCCACCAUUCCCGAAUGACUACAAGCAUAAAGCACAACAAGAAAGGUUAUGCCAUCAAGCACUAGAGCCUCUUUCCUCAUCUCAUCAAAAACACGGAAAGCAUCUUCGCUGCACCCAUGCAUGCCAUACCCGGUGAGUAGCGAGGUCCAAGAGAUGGCAUUUCUCUUUGACAUGCUGUCGAAAACUACUUGGGCAGUAUCUACAUCUCCGGAUUUGGAAUACAUGUCUAUGAGACAAUUAGCCACAAACAGAACAUCUGAAUCAAUACGACUUCUACGCAACACAUAAGCAUGAAUCUGCUUACCAAACCUCAAUGCUGCCAAACGAGCACAAGCCAUGAGUACACAAGAUAUGGUAAAAUCAUUAGGAACUAUACAGUUAUCAAAUUUAAACAUUUCAGAGAAAAGUUGCAGGGCGUGAUUUGCAUCUCCAUACUGAGCAUAACCUCCAAUCAUCACAGUCCAAGUCACCACAUCCCUAUCUUUGGGACAUAUUUCAUCAAACAUCGCACGAGCCACUUCUAAACUCUUGCAUUUAGCAUACAUAUCAAUUAGAGCAUUAAUCCCCGCCAAAUCAUCAUUAUCAUCAUUAUGCUCCCCCUUGAGAAUAAAUUUAAUUGAAUAACAAUGAGUUUCUUUUCCAUGAAGCAAAGCUCCAACAGACGCACAACCAGAAAGCAACGACAUGAGCGUAACCACAUUAGGACGACAACUACAUCCACACAUUUGCCGAAACACAUCCAUUGCUUCACAACCAAACCCUCUCUGAGCAUACCCAGAAAUAACAGAACUCCAAGUAACAACAUCCAACUCAAUUCUCUCUUCCCUCAUUUUCCCAAACAAAGAAAGUGCAUCCUCAAAUCUACCAUUUUGAGAAUACCCGGUAACCAUAGCAUUCCAAGUAACAACAUCCUUAAACCGCAUCCUCUCAUAAACCUUACUAGCGUCUUCCAUUUUCCCACAUUUUGCAUACAUAUCAACCAAAGCAUUCCCAACAAAAAAUCCUCAACCAAACCAGUUAUAACACAUAAACCAUGAACUUGUUUCCCACAUAACCCCAAACCAAGAAAACCACUAACAGGAAGUAUAUUAACAACACCAACAGUAUCCGGCAAAAUCCCAUACCCAACCGUCAUUUCCCUAAAAAGAAAAACAGCAUCAUUUGGAACAAAACAAUGCGAAUAAACAGAAACAAUCGAAUUCUACGACACCGAAAUAAGAGGAGACCAUGUAUAAUGUAUUGUUGAUGAAGUAGUUUUGCUUGGAUUAUAGAUUUGCAUUGCUGUUUUGAAAUUUACGAAGAAGAAUGAUAUAAGAGGAGAUUAUGUGUAUUGAUAAGUAGUGGUGGUUUUGAGUUGAACGGAGGGAAACGUGAGAGCAUGCUAGCUUUUUCAUAAAAAGCCAGAUCAUAAAGUUUUUUCAAUGCUGUUGUUACUUGAAUUCAUUUAUCACUUUUUUCAUUAUGGACAAAACUAAGUACAAGCCUUGCAAGUAAGCUGCUACUAUUGAAGACUUGUGAAGCAAGCUUCCCAUUCUCUCCUUCAACUUUCUGUACAACCAUUCAAUGCAUUGGUUGAUGUGUAUACAGUUGAAAAGCACUAAUGUUGUAACCAAAACUCCAAAUGUUUCAAUUAUCACCGAAUUUCUUUAAAAGGUAAUUUGCAAUCCUUCAUUUGCAGAUUCUUGAAGUUUCUAUUUGCUAGCAUGUACUACAUGGCGUAUUUAAUGAAAUAGACAAAUAGUUAAAUUUGGUGCUACAAACUUGUUCAAAAUGAAUGAGUGAUCAACACAUUGUCGAUUCAUUUUGUAGGUGUGAUGUUUUUAGUUAUGGGGUCAUCUUAUGGGAGCUCUUUACCAAGCAGGAACCCUGGAAAGAAGUGUAUCUAUAUCGAGUUAUUUAUCAUGUUGGUGAGGAGGAUGGCCGUCUGGACAUUCCAGACAUUAUGGCCCCUGAUAUUACUAAUAUUAUUAGACAAUGUUUGAAGAAGCAAGUGUAAUCUUUUAGGUGCAGAGCAUUUUAAUAUUUAUAUGGUGUAUGUAAUGCAAUUAUCAUGUCCUACAUUAAAAUGUUUUGCCACUAAAAGUAAACGCAAUUACUCAAAAUAGAAUGUGAAAUAACGAGCGUUCCGUAAAUAUAUUGUUAGCAAUCUGCAGUCUCUAUAAUGAAUAGGAACUGGAAGUAAGUUGCAAGGAAAAUAAAGUUCAAUCCACCUACUAUUUAAUUUUCUUUUAUUUGUUUCAUUAUCAUACUUGUACAUUUAAUUUUCUUAAUCUUUAUUAUUCACUGUAUCAGGAUUUAUGGGCAAAAAGAAGAUAAGAACCUUUGAAAGUCUUUUGCAUACUUUGGAGGAGCAUGCAUUGCAACCACUCAGGUACAUUUUCUCAAGGAUUUCAAGCAUUCGAGACCUAGAAUAUCUAUCAGUUUCUCGCAAUUUGUGAAUUUCAACUCCUCCAAACUCUCUACAUUGGACAGCAUCCUCUCUAGUGUACUGCCUAUAUUAAUCAGUCAGACCAAAUUCUACCUCAUUUUCCAACAUAUUUUCAUGAGUGUAAUUAGAACUUCGUCUCUAAACAUAUACUAUACAAAAGUAUUCACAAAAUGGGUUAUUAAGUUAAGGAACACUGUUUUGUUGGUGCAGUGGUUAGUGGAAAUACCCAACAUAAUAAUUGAAAGAGACCUUACACCCGUAACAGAAAAUCCGUAAAAGAUUACAACUUGAUGCAUGAAACGAAUACCAAACAUAAUGUUAACUAAAUGGAAAAUCUACAUUAUAAGGUUGGACACAAUGCAACAAGUCGGCAACAACCCGUGAACAACAGCAGAAAAAUGUAGUACAAAAAUCUAUAUUUAAUUCAUACUCUAAGAGAAAUAAAAAAUGCAGUACAAAUUGUCUGUGAAGUUUACCUUGAAAAAUGUUAAAUAAAAAAUGCAGUACAAAUUGUCUGUGAGGUUUAAAUUGCACUUACCGUGUUCGGCCUAGCAAUUUCGACAUUUUUUCCAAUUGAAUUAUGAGUUGUGGAUUAUAUAAUGAAUGGUUUUAAUAGAGUAAUGAAAGAUAAGAUAAGUCUUUCAAUGAAUUAGUUUUUUUUUUAUCUUUUUUUGUGGCCGCUAUUACUCCAACCUCAUGUUUCUGAUCAAAACCACAAUAAGUCUAAGUCUUCACCUUAAAGACAAAAGUCUUCACUAUUACAAGUGGGAAUAUCAAUUACAAUGCAUUAUAAAUAUCACCUAAAUCUCCCAUCAUAAUACAAGUGUCUAGUUCAAUUAUAUAUAUCUCAGUGCUUGCCAAUAAUUUCAUUCUGUUGAAAUUUCCAAAAUACUUCAAAGAAUGAAGCUCUUACCAAUGCCAUGUCUUAUUUUGUUCUUCUAUGUGUUUGUAAUUGCAACAUCACCUCAUGCUGCAACAAAAAUCCAAGGUAGCGAGGCUGAUGCUCUAUUGAAGUGGAAAUCAAGCCUUGACAACCAUAGCAGGGCAUUUCUCUCUUCAUGGAUUGGUAAUAAUCCUUGUGGUUGGGAAGGAAUCACGUGUGAUUAUGAAUCGAAGUCCAUCAACAAGGUAAAUCUCACCAAUAUUGGACUAAAAGGUACACUUCAGAGUCUCAACUUCUCAUCACUUCCAAAAAUCCACACUUUAGUUUUAACAAACAACUUCUUGUACGGAGUUGUUCCACACCAAAUUGGAGAGAUGUCUAGUCUCAAAACUCUUAAUUUGUCGAUUAACAAUCUCUUUGGGUCAAUCCCACCAUCCAUAGGUAAUUUGAUUAAUUUAGAUACUAUUGACCUUUCACAAAAUACUCUCUCUGGACCAAUUCCUUUCACUAUCGGAAAUUUAACGAAGCUAAGUGAAUUGUAUUUUUAUUCAAAUGCUCUCACUGGACAAAUUCCACCUUCCAUAGGUAACUUGAUCAAUUUGGAUAUUAUUGACCUUUCAAGAAAUCAUCUCUCUGGACCAAUUCCACCUUCCAUAGGUAAUUUGAUUAAUUUGGAUUACUUUUCCCUUUCACAAAAUAAUCUCUCUGGACCAAUUCCUUCCACUAUUGGAAAUUUGACAAAACUCAGUACAUUAUCUCUUUAUUUAAAUGCUCUCACUGGACAAAUUCCACCUUCCAUAGGUAACUUGAUCAAUUUGGAUANUAUUGACCUUUCACAAAAUAAUCUCUCUGGACCAAUUCCUUUCACUAUCGGAAAUUUAACCAAACUAAGUGAAUUGUAUUUUUAUUCAAAUGCUCUCUCCGGAGAAAUUCCACCUUCCAUAGGUAACUUGAUCAAUUUGGAUCUUAUUCACCUAUCAAGAAAUCAUCUCUCUGGACCAAUUCCUUCCACCAUCGGAAAUUUAACAAAACUCGGUACAUUAUCUCUUUUCUCAAAUGCUCUUGCUGGACAAAUUCCACCUUCCAUAGGAAAUUUGAUAAAUUUGGAUACUAUUUACCUUUCAAAAAAUCAUCUCUCUGGACCAAUUCUUUCCAUCAUCGGAAAUUUAACAAAAUUGAGUAAAUUAACUCUUGGCGUAAAUGCUCUCACCGGACAAAUUCCACCUUCCAUAGGUAAUUUGAUUAAUUUGGAUUACAUUUCCCUUUCACAAAAUAAUCUCUCUGGACCAAUUCCAUCCACUAUCGGAAAUUUGACAAAACUUAGCGAAUUACAUCUUUCAUUUAAUUCUCUCACUGAGAAUAUUCCAACAGAAAUGAAUAGGCUUACCGAUUUGGAAGCACUCCAUUUAGAUGUUAAUAAUUUUGUUGGUCAUUUACCUCACAAUAUUUGUGUCGGUGGGAAGAUAAAAAAAUUCACUGCUGGACUUAACCAGUUCACUGGCUUAGUUCCAGAGAGUUUGAAGAAUUGCUUAAGCCUUAAAAGAGUGAGGCUUGAUCAAAACCAACUGACUGGAAAUAUAACAAAUAGUUUUGGUGUGUAUCCAAACUUGUACUACAUGGACUUGAAUGAUAAUAAUUUUUAUGGUCAUCUUUCUCCAAAUUGGGGAAAGUGCAAGAAUCUCACAAGCCUUAAAAUCUCUGGUAAUAAUUUAACAGGAAGAAUACCACCAGAGCUAGGCAGCGCAACAAAUUUACAGGAGCUUAACUUGUCUUCAAACCAUCUAACGGGAAAAAUUCCAAAGGAGCUAGAAAACUUAUCUUUGUUGAUCAAACUCUCGUUAAGUAACAAUCACCUUUCUGGAGAAGUUCCUGUACAAAUUGCAUCAUUGCACGAGCUAACUGCAUUGGAGCUUGCAACAAAUAAUUUGAGUGGCUUCAUCCCUAAAAGACUUGGUAGGUUAUCUAGGUUAUUGCAGUUAAAUUUGAGCCAAAAUAAGUUUGAGGGGAACAUUCCUGCUGAGUUUGCCCAAUUGAAUGUUAUUGAAAAUCUUGAUCUUAGUGGGAAUUUUAUGAAUGGAACCAUACCAUCAAUGCUUGGGCAGUUAAAUCGCUUAGAAACAUUGAAUCUCUCACAUAACAAUCUCUCUGGUACCAUUCCCUCAAGCUUUGUUGAUAUGUUAAGCUUGACAACUGUUGAUAUAUCUUACAACCAGUUGGAGGGUCCAAUUCCAAACAUUACAGCUUUCAAAAAAGCUCCAAUUGAAGCAUUGACAAAUAACAAAGGCUUAUGUGGUAAUGUCUCUGGCCUAGAGCCUUGCUCAACAUCUGGUGGCAAAUUUCAUAAUCAUAAGACUAACAAAAUUUUGGUGCUAGUUCUAUCCCUCACUCUAGGCCCUCUACUGUUAGCAUUAAUUGUGAUCUCAUACCUUUUGUGUCGAAUUUCAAGCGCAAAAGAAUACAAGCCUGCACAAGAAUUUCAAAUUGAAAAUCUGUUUGAAAUAUGGAGCUUUGAUGGCAAAAUGGUGUACGAGAACAUAAUCGAAGCCACUGAAGAUUUUGACGACAAGCAUCUCCUUGGGGUUGGAGGACAUGGAAGUGUUUACAAAGCAGAGUUGCCCACAGGUCAAGUUGUAGCUGUGAAGAAACUUCAUUCAUUACAAAAUGAAGAAAUGCCUAAUCUGAAAGCUUUCACAAAUGAGAUCCAUGCUUUGACAGAAAUUCGACAUCGCAACAUUGUGAAGUUAUACGGGUUUUGUUCACAUCGACUACACUCAUUUUUGGUUUAUGAAUUCUUGGAGAAGGGUAGCAUGGACAUCAUUUUGAAGGACAAUGAACAAGCUCCUGAAUUUGAUUGGAAUAGGAGGGUGGAUGUUAUUAAAGAUAUAGCUAAUGCUUUAUGCUAUAUGCAUCAUGAUUGUUCACCUUCAAUUGUUCAUCGCGAUAUAUCCAGCAAGAAUGUCAUUUUGGAUUUGGAAUAUGUAGCUCAUGUCUCAGACUUUGGAACAUCUAAGUUUCUCAAUCCCAAUUCAUCCAAUAUGACUUCUUUUGCAGGCACUUUUGGAUAUACUGCUCCAGGUGAAUUCUUUUUUUCAUUAAUUAAGGUUAAAAUAUUUUGUAGUUUAUCUUUAGUACUUUACAUGUAAAAUCUAAUUAUUUCACAAAUCUACAUUUAAUGUUUUGUUUUUCAAAUCCUAUUUUUCACAUAAAUAUUUGUAAAUUUCUACAGAACUUGCAUACACAAUGGAAGUAAAUGAGAAAUGUGAUGUGUUUAGUUUUGGGAUAUUAACCUUGGAAAUACUUUUUGGAAAGCACCCUGGAGAUAUUGUAACUUAUUUGUGGCAACAACCUUCACAAAGUGUUAUGGACAUGAGACCUGAUACUAUGCAAUUGAUAGAUAAGUUGGACCAGCGUGUCCCUCAUCCCACAAAUACCAUUGUUCAAGAAGUGGCAUCGAUGAUAAGGAUUGCAGUUGCUUGCUUAACUGAAAGCCCGCGUUCUCGCCCUACCAUGGAGCAGGUCUGCAGACAGUUUGUAAUGUCAUAAUCAUCUUCAGAUACAUAUUGUCUCAUAUAUAUGGUGGAUUCAAUAUAAACGAUUGAACUUUUGUAUGAUCGUCAUUAUCUUUUUGAUACUAUAAUUCAUAUAAUAUUUAGACAAAAUUAUUGAGUUUUACUUAAUCAGGCCUUUUAUUCCAUAAAUAUCAAUAAUUUUAAAGCAAAAUUAAAAUGUUCAAAAUCACUACACACACUGUAAAGAAUGACAUCCUCCCCGCAAGGUCUAGUUUUUGUUUAUACGCAAAUCCAUAAAUUAAUUUUGACCACAUGGUAGACUCAUAUCAAUGAUGUGCACACAAUAUUAUAUAGACAUCAAAAUAUUUAUAAGGAAUAAUUGCUUUAGUUUUCCUAAUUUAGGAGUCAUAAAAUGUUGAGAGACUUGUACAUUUACUCCAAAUGGUGGAGAAAUUAGUUCAAUGUUGGCGAUAAAUAUUGAAUUAUUAACUCUAUGAGUUUAGUGUAGUGUUAAAAAGAUAAACUUUUGAACUCCAAAGGCUUGGUCUAGUGGUAAAAAGACAGGUCUUGAAUCCGAAAGAACCCAGGUUCGAGCCCUACUAGUGCCUUUGGAGGGAGGUUGAAUUCAAAUGUUUUAAGUUUAUGUUCAGAUAGUAUCCUUAAUGAGAUAAAUCUAAAUCUCUUUAUAAAUGAUGACUGAGUCAAGCUAAAAUUUAGUUAGUAUCUUUGGAAGGAGGUAAAUGUAAAUUCUUUUGAAAAUGACCAUUGAACCCUAUAAGAGUGUGUUUGGAUGGAGGAAUGUUUUGAGGGAAUGUAAUGUUUUGAGGGAAUUCAACUACUUUAAGGUGAAUUCUAUUGUUUGAAUUCACCUCAAAGUAGUUGAAUUCCCUCAAAACAUUACAUUCCCUCAAAACAUUCCCCCAUCCAAACACACUCUAAGGUAUUCUCUACUUUGGCCAGGGGCAUUAUCCCUCCAUCUAAAAAUAUUUUCAUAAACAAAAUUGAAAAGUAAUAACAAUGAAUGAUGUUAGAUUAAUGAAAGUUAAGUAUAUAUUUUUCUAAUUGAAAGUUAAACUCAUUACCUCCCUGUUACUCCAAAUCGGUGGACGACUGACUUUAAUUAUUACAAUAGCUUAUUUACGUAUUAUGUUUGUGUGUAUAAAUAAAUAUCAGCUACAUCUCCCAAUAUGAUGCAUGCAAUAUCAUAAUAAGUCUCUUGUUCAAUUAUAAUACAUCAGUGAUUGCCAAUACUUUCAUUUUAUUGUAUUCAAAUGCUUCAGAGGAUGAAGUUCUUACCAAUGUCGUGUCUUCUUUUGUUCUUCUAUGUGUAUGUAAUUGCCACAUCACCUCAUGCUGCAACAAAAAUCAAAGGCAGUGAGGCAGAUGCUCUGUUGAAGUGGAAAGCAAGCCUUGACAACCACAACAGGGCAUUGCUCUCUUCAUGGAUUGGUAAUAAUCCUUGUAGUAGUUGGGAAGGAAUCACAUGUGAUGAUGAUUCAAAAUCCAUCAACAAGGUAAAUCUCACCAAUAUUGGACUAAAAGGUACGCUUCAAACUCUCAAUUUCUCAUCACUUCCGAAAUUGAAAAGUUUAGUUUUAAGCAGCAACUCCUUCUACGGUGUAGUUCCACACCAUAUUGGUGUAAUGUCCAAUCUAGAAACUCUUGAUUUGUCACUAAAUGAACUCUCUGGUACCAUUCCCAAUACCAUUGGUAAUUUGUACAAACUAUCCUAUCUUGAUCUCAGCUUUAAUUAUCUCACCGGGUCUAUCUCAAUUUCUAUAGGAAAGUUGGCCAAAAUAAAAAAUCUCAUGUUACAUUCGAAUCAACUUUUUGGCCAGAUUCCUCGUGAAAUUGGGAAUUUGGUCAACCUCCAGAGACUAUAUCUUGGAAAUAACAGUCUUUUUGGCUUCAUUCCUCGAGAAAUUGGAUAUCUAAAACAACUCGGCGAACUUGACUUGUCUGCGAACCAUCUCUCAGGCCCAAUCCCUUCUACAAUUGGAAAUUUGAGCAAUUUAUAUUAUCUUUACCUUUAUUCAAACCAUCUCAUUGGUAGCAUUCCAAAUGAAUUAGGAAAGCUCUAUUCCCUUUCCACAAUCCAAUUGUUAAAAAACAAUCUUUCAGGAUCAAUCCCUCCAUCCAUGGGUAACUUGGUCAAUUUAGAAUCUAUUCUCCUUCAUGAAAAUAAACUCUCUGGACCAAUUCCUUCCACUAUUGGAAAUUUAACCAAAGUGAGUGAAUUAUUAAUUUACUCAAAUGCUCUCACUGGAAAAAUUCCACCUUCCAUAGGUAAUUUGAUUAAUUUGGAUUCUAUUCACCUUUCACUAAAUAAUCUCUCUGGACCAAUUCCUUCCACUAUCGAAAAUUUGACAAAACUCAGUGCAUUAACUCUUUUAUCAAAUUCUCUCACUGAGAAUAUUCCAGCAGAAAUGAAUAGGCUUACGGAUUUGGAAGUACUCGAAUUAUAUGAUAAUAAAUUUAUUGGUCAUUUACCUCACAAUAUUUGUGUCGGUGGGAAGUUAAAAACAUUCACUGCUGCACUUAACCAGUUCAGAGGCCUAGUUCCAGAGAGUUUGAAGAAUUGCUCAAGCCUUGAGAGAUUGAGGCUUAACCAAAACCAACUGACUGGAAAUAUAACAGAGAGUUUUGGUGUGUAUCCAAACUUGGACUACAUGGACUUGAGUGAUAAUAAUUUUUAUGGUCAUCUUUCUCCAAAUUGGGGAAAGUGCAAGAAUCUCACAAGCCUAAAAAUCUCCGGUAAUAAUUUAACUGGAAGAAUACCACCAGAACUAGGCAGAGCAACAAAUUUACAGGAGCUUAACUUGUCUUCAAACGAUCUAAUGGGAAAAAUUCCAAAGGAGCUAAAAUAUUUAUCUUUGUUGUUCAAACUCUCGUUAAGUAACAAUCAUCUUUCUGGAGAAGUUCCUGUACAAAUUGCAUCAUUGCAUCAACUAACUGCAUUGGAGCUUGCAACAAAUAACUUAAGUGGCUUCAUCCUGGAAAAACUUGGUAUGUUGUCUAGGUUAUUGCAGUUGAAUUUGAGCCAUAAUA
rnacentral:lncRNA from 1 species